AGGACGAACGCUGGCGGCGUGCUUAACACAUGCAAGUCGAGCGGAAAGGCCCUUCGGGGUACGUCGAGCGGCGAACGGGUGAGUAACACGUGAGCAACCUGCCCUUAGCUCCGGGAUAGGCUCCGGGAAACCGGAAUUAAAUACCGGAUACGACCACGGCCGACAUCUGCUGUGGUGGAAAGGAUUCCGGCUAAGGAUGGGCUCGGCGGCCUAUCAGGCUAGUUGGUGGAGUAACGGCCCACCAAGGCGACGACGGGUA
rnacentral:rRNA from 1 species